rnacentral:rRNA from 1 species
GGACGGGAAUAACCUUGGGAAACUGAGAAUAAUGCCCGACAGAACAUUAUACCUGGAACGGUUUAUGUUUCAAAUGAUUUAUCGCCGUAGGAUGGGACUGCGGCCUAUCAGUUUGUUGGUGAGGUAAUGGCCCACCAAGACUAUUACAGGUACGGGCUCUGAGAGGAGUAGCCCGGAGAUGGGUACUGAGACACGGACCCAGGCCCUAUGGGGCGCAGCAGGCGAGAAAACUUUGCAAUGUGCGAAAGCACGACAAGGUUAAUCCGAGUGGUUUCUGCUAAAGAAACCUUUUGCUAGUCCUAGAAACACUAGUGAAUAAGGGGUGGGCAAGUUCUGGUGUCAGCCGCCGCGGUAAAACCAGCACCUCAAGUGGUCAGGAUGAUUAUUGGGCCUAAAGCAUCCGUAGCUCGUUUUGUAAGUUUUCGGUUAAAUCCAUACGCUCAACGUAUGGGCUGCCGGGAAUACUGCAUAACUAGGAAGUGGGAGAGGUAGACGGUACUCGGUAGGAAGGGGUAAAAUCCUUUGAUCUAUUGAUGACCACCUGUGGCGAAGGCGGUCUACCAGAACACGUUCGACGGUGAGGGAUGAAAGCUGGGGGAGCAAACCGGAUUAGAUACCCGGGUAGUCCCAGCUGUAAACUAUGCAAACUCAGUGAUGCAUUGGCUUGUGGCCAAUGCAGUGCUGCAGGGAAGCCGUUAAGUUUGCCGCCUGGGAAGUACGUACGCAAGUAUGAAACUUAAAGGAAUUGGCGGGGGAGCACCACAAGGGGUGAAGCCUGCGGUUC